rnacentral:rRNA from 1 species
AUGGACCGCAGUAACCUACCUCCUGGAAACACGACGCAAGGAACUCCUUAUGGUAGUUUGAAUGUACAUGGUAACUCCAUGCAAAUGCAUGCUCCAAGCUCAGGAAAACAUCUAUUCAGCCAAUCUCAGAUGCCAGGGAGUUUCACAAUGCCUAUCAACCGGGCUACAGAACAUGAUAACCCCGGAUCCGGAUUUCAGUUUGUAGAACAUGGAAAGAAGGAUCACCACCACCACCAGCAGCAGCAGCAGCAGCAGCAGCAGCAGCAGCACAACCAUCUCAUAAAGAACUCCAUCAGUGAUGACGAGGAGCAUGAUAUGACCGAGGAUGCUACUGAUGCCCAGAGUGGCAAGGGCAAGAAAGGCUCAGCAUGGCAUCGGAUGAAGUGGACUGGUUCGAUGGUUAAGCUUUUGAUUACCGCAGCAUCUUACACGGGGGAGGAUCCUGGGGCGGAUUUGGGCGGUGGGAGGAGGAACAUUACAGUAAUGCAGAAGAAGGGCAAAUGGAAAGCAAUAUCAAAGGUCAUGGGUGAAAGAGGCUGCAACGUGUCACCGCAGCAGUGCGAGGAUAAGUUCAAUGACCUCAACAAGAGAUACAAAAGGCUUACGGAUAUCCUUGGUCGUGGUACUGCUUGCAAUGUUGUGGAUAAUCCAGCACUCCUUGAUUGCAUGAAUAAUCUUUCCGAUAAGAUGAAAGAAGAUGCAAGAAAGAUAUUGAACUCUAAGCAUUUGUUCUAUGAGAUGAUGUGUUCCUAUCAUAACAACAACCGUGUGAAUUUACCCGAAGAUCUUGCACUUCAGCACUCACUACAGGUUGCUCUUAGAUGUAAAGAGGAGCAUGAUCAAAGGAGGGAUGCAAGUGGAGAUGCUGAAGAAGAUGACCACAGUGCAGAUUCUGAUUACGAGGAUCAUGACGAAGAGCAUCAAGCAGUUCAUCACAGUAUGAGGGAUCCUUCCAUGAAUAAAAGGAUGUGUCAUGCAUUGGAUCAUGGUGAUGCGGGUUUUCUCACCUCAAGCUCGAAUGAUGGUAGUGGGAGUUUGGAUCCCCAUGGCAUCGCAUUGGAUAUCAACAAGGGUUUUACGGAUGGAACCAACCUGUCUGUUGUGCGGAAGGAACUGGCUUCCCAAGCAAUAGAGCUUCGGAAACGUCGGUUGCAGAUUGAAGCACAGGAACUGGAAGUCACAGAGCAACGUCUAAAGUGGGAGAGAUUCAAGAGGAAGAAGGACAGGGAAAUUGAAAGGAUGGAAUCGGAGAAUGAAGAAAUGAUGCUCGAGAACAAGCGUUUGGAACUUCAGCUAAAGCACAAGGAGCUAGAAGUUGAGCUUAAGCUAAAAGGCAAUCCAGACCAUGAAUGA